AGAGUUUGAUCCUGGCUCAGAACAAACGCUGGCGGCGUGCCUAACACAUGCAAGUCGAACGAGAAAGUCUGCUUCGGCGGAUGAGUAAAGUGGCGUACGGGUGAGUAACACGUGGAUAAUCUACCCUUUAGUGGGGAAUAACCUAUCGAAAGGUGGGCUAAUACCGCAUAAUGCUGUUUAGCUUUGGCUAAGUAGCUAAAGGGAGCCUCUGCUUGCAAGCUUUCGCUAAAGGAUGAGUCCGCGCACCAUUAGCUGGUUGGUAGGGUAAUGGCCUACCAAGGCGACGAUGGUUAGCUGGUCUGAGAGGAUGAUCAGCCACACUGGAACUGAGAUACGGUCCAGACUCCUACGGGAGGCAGCAGUGAGGAAUAUUGCGCAAUGGGGGAAACCCUGACGCAGCAACGCCGCGUGAGUGAGGAAGGUCUUCGGAUCGUAAAGCUCUGUCGGGUGGGAAGAAAUAUACAAAAGUUAACAGCUUUUGCACUUGACGGUACCACCAGAGGAAGCACCGGCCAACUCCGUGCCAGCAGCCGCGGUAAUACGGGGGGUGCAAGCGUUGUUCGGAAUUAUUGGGCGUAAAGAGCGUGUAGGCGGUUGGAUAAGUCA
rnacentral:rRNA from 1 species